AUCAGGGUCUCUGGGAAGUGCUGACGUGUGCGCGUGUGCGGUGUGUUGCUUGUGGGUGCGUGUGUGGUGUGUGCAUGUGUGUGCGCGCGCGUGUGUGCGGGGUGUGCCGUGAGCGUGUGCCCGCGGUUCGGGGGAUGAGUAGGGGCGCUGACUUUUAGGACCAGCCAUUUGAGUCAAGCUGGAGACGACGUCUUAGAACCUAGGAUGAGUCUCGUUUGGUUUUAGUCUGCAAAGCUCGUCUGCAUCAGACAGGAAUUUUCCCCAGACGCGGGUGCACGUGAAUUAAUUCAUCAGAAGGCGGUUCACGGCCUGAGUGAGGGGGACGAGGGCGGCGAAUUCCUCCGCCUCAUUCCUACCCUGACGAUUCGAGAUGCUCGCUUCACCCCACUGAGAUGUAACUCAGUUUUGUGGGAUCCCACUGCCCUCCAGGUGCCGCUCCGAGUGCUCUACACAGAUUUUCAUUCAGUCCUUGCGGCACACGAAGAGUGGCUGUACCAUUUUGCAUUCCCAGACCGAAGUGUGAAAGCUCCAGAUGCCCCACGCCCUCACCAGCCCACGGUGUUGUCAGCCUUAAUAGUGCUGACCAUUCUGCCUGUUAAUAUGAUGAAUUACACUGAUUCAGUUUCAAAUGUCCAACCAAGCUUGCACUCCAGAGAUGAAGCCCACUUGAUCACAUGGAUUAUUCUUUUAAUAUAUGAUGGAUACGACUUGGCUGUUCUUUUGUUGAGGAUUUUUGUGUUUAUGUUAAUGAGGAUAUUAUUUGUAGUUUUCUUUUCUUGUAAUGUUUUUGUCUUUGUUCAGUGUCAGAGUAAUGCCAACUUCAUAAAGUGAGCUGGGAAGUACUCCCUCAUUUUCUGUUUUCUGUGAAAGAAUUGUAUAGAAUUGAUGUUAUUUCUUCCUUAAGUGUUGAGUAGAAUUCACUUGCAAAGCCAUCUGAGGUUGACAUCUUCUUUGGGAAUGACUUUAGCUAUAAAUUCAAUUUAUUUAACAGAUAUAGGGCUAUUAAGGUUAUUUAAUUUUUUUCUUGAAUGAGCUUUAGUGUCCUGUGUUUUUCAAGGAAUUUUUCCAUUUUAUUUAAGUUUUUAGAUUUGUUGGCAUAAAGUUAUCCCAAUAUUUCCUUAGAAGUUGUGACUUUUACUGCAUAUAAAACAUACCUCAAUAAAGCUAAUACAUACAUAUAUAUAUAUGAAUCAUUUCUGGCCAGGUACAGUGGCUCAUGCCUGUAAUCCCAGCACUUUGGGAGGCAGAGGCAGGUGGAUCACCUGAGAUCAGGUGUUCCAGACCAGCCUGGCCAACAUGGGAAACCUGUCUCUACUAAAAAUACAAAAAUUAGCCAGGUGUGGUGGCAUGCCCCUGUAAUCCCAGCUACUUAGGAGGCUGAGACAGAAGAAUCGCUUGAAUCCGGGAGGUGGAGUUUGCAGUGAGCUGAGAUUGCACCACUGCACUCCAGCCUGGGCAACAGACUGAGACUCCAUCUCAAAAAAAAAAAAAAAAAUCCCUUUUUAUCUAAAGGAUCUGUAGUGAAGUCCCCUCUUUCAUUUCUGAUAUUGGUAAUUUGUGGGGUUUUUUUGUUUU
rnacentral:lncRNA from 10 species